GGGCUUGUUUUGGCAGUACACAUACUAAUACUGGAACAGUACAGAGAAUAUUAGCAUGGUUCGUGCAUGAGGAUGAAGGUCAGAUUCAUGAAGUGUUCUGUAAUUUU
ensembl:snRNA U6 U6 spliceosomal RNA